rnacentral:rRNA from 1 species
GACGAACGCUGGCGGCGUGCUUAACACAUGCAAGUCGAACGAUGAAGCCGGAGCUUGCUCUGGUGAAUUAGUGGCGAACGGGUGAGUAACACGUGAGUAACCUGCCCUUGACUCUGGGAUAACUGCGGGAAACUGUAGCUAAUACCGGAUACGACCCUCGGAGGCAUCUCCUGGGGGUGGAAAGAAUUUCGGUCAAGGAUGGACUCGCGGCCUAUCAGCUAGUUGGUGAGGUAAAGGCUCACCAAGGCGACGACGGGUAGCCGGCCUGAGAGGGUGACCGGCCACACUGGGACUGAGACACGGCACAGACUCCUACGGGAGGCAGCAGUGGGGAAUAUUGCACAAUGGGCGCAAGCCUGAUGCAGCAACGCCGCGUGAGGGAUGACGGCCUUCGGGUUGCAAACCUCUUUUAGUAGGGAAGAAGCGAAAGUGACGGUACCUGCAGAAAAAGCACCGGCUAACUACGUGCCAGCAGCCGCGGUAA